UGGGAAUUGGAUGCAGAUGGGGGUGGGAUAGGAUGGAGAUGGGAAUGGGACAGAAUGGGGACGGAAUGGGAUGCCAUGAAGAUGAGGAUGGAGUGGAAUAGGAUGGAGAUGGGACAGAAUGGGGUUGAGGACAGGAUGGGAUGGGAUGGGGAUAGGGAUGAGACAGAAUGGGGAUGGGGAUGGGAUGGGAUGGAAUGGGAUGGGAUGGAACUGAAUGGGGAUGGGGAUGGGAUAGGGAUAAGGGUGUGAUGGGGAUGGGACAGGAUGGGGAUGGAAUGGAGGGCAGCCACAGCUGGAGCCAGGCCAGGGUAAGGGAGCAGAGCCGGGAGGAGCCAGGGGGCACCAUGGGAGUGGUGUGCUCACUCUGCCGGCACAGGCUAUCUCACCGUCAAGCCAGAGAUCAUUGCCAAGAUGGAGCGAGAGUUGACGCCAUGUGCGGCAUCCCUGUCCCUGACACGGCGCCGGCGCCGAGCUCCUGCACCAGCUGCUGGCGUCACCCACAUGCGGCCAGCAGUCCCCGGGGUGCAGCCGGCGCCCAGCACCCAGCUCCCAGCAGUGCCCGAGUGCAGCGGGAGGCGUCAGCAGGGUCUGUCCGGGGUGAAGCCGCUCCGCACGUGCCCAGAGUGCAACCAGAGCUUCCGGAGCUGGGCGGCGCUGGACAUCCAUGCACGGAGCCACUCGGGCGAGCGGCCCUUUGCCUGUGCCCGAUGCGCCCAGAGCGUCCCCAGCUCCGGGGACCUUGGGCACCACCAGAAGAGCCACAUCACCCAGAUGGACCCUGGCGCUGGGCCCCAGAGCCCCAGCGCCUGCGCUGAGUGCAGGAAGAGCUUUGGCAAGAGCCGGGAUCUGAGGCAGCACCAGCACAUGCACCGCGGCCACCGCUUCAGCCAGAAGCGCCGCCUGGUCACCCGCUAGCGCAUCCGCGCUGGGAAGCAGCCCUGCUCUGCGGCAAGGGCUUCCGCAGCAGGAACACCAUCACCAUCCACCACCGCGGCCGCGCCGUCAAGAGGGUCCCACAGUGUGGUGGAUGCGGCAAGGACUGCAGCCAGGGGCAGCACCAGUGGGUGCACCGGGGCUGGCCUAUGGGAUAUGGGGGUCCAUCUCUGAAGCCCUUCCGUGUGGUGGCUGUGAGAAGUGGUUUUGGGAUGUGGGGACCAGAUGCUGGAUGCUGGCUCACCGGAGCACCCACAGCACCCCUGGCCUGUGAGCCGGCACCCCCCAGAACUGCUGCUGAGCAGCCCAUGUCAGCUUCACCAGAGCAUCCAUGUGUGAACUGGGAGCAAAUGGCAGCUCUUCCAUCACUGACUGCUCCAAAGCAUCCACACGGAUCCUCCUGGGAACCCUGGACAGCCACAGUUGGGGGGGGGUCAUGGGGACCCCGCCAGCUGCUGGGGUGGGGGAGUGCAGUAGGCAGUCGCGGUGCAGUCAGGAUGGAGCCUGGGGCCGGGGGGAAGUGGCUGCUUUGCUUUCGCUCCCUGACAGUGAGUAAAAAGCUUCUGGGUGGUGACGAUGCAGCAGUGCCCGGCUCAGGGCUGGCGUCCCCUCGCUCAUCCCUAGAUCCCUGUCUCUGGUGGGGCAUGGGGAGAGGGUGGGAUCUGCCUGGGGGCUUCUGAGGGAGCUGGAGGGAUGUGGGAUUGUCUUG
ensembl:lncRNA